AUCCUCUGCGCCCGCCCCGCCUCCCGCCUGCCUAGCCUGGGAGCUCGCCGGAGCCUGCCGGGCCUCGAUUCCCCGCCUGCGGCCCGAGGCCGUGGAGUGUAGAACCCUCGUUUUCCCGGUUGGUGGAACAAAGGGGCGUUGUCAUCGCCAUCAUCUGUGUCAUCUAGGUCCAUGUCCACCACACUCCGACUGGAGCCGUGACGCUUUCGGUUUUCCUAACAACAGUAUCACAAGUUGAGUCCCAAGAUUAAUUUUAAAAACAAAACAUACGAACUAGUCAUUCAAAGUGAAGUCUGUUUUUUAUGAGAAAUCCAGUCUUUGAAAUCACUGUUAAUCUCCAUGUAAAGCACUGCUGACUCCUUGGUUUUACAAACGCAGUUUGACUAUAAUGCGUCUGGACAUGCACCUUUCAUUUUAUCCUGUUCACAGUUCACCAACCUUCUUCAAAUGGCCUACCUUCAACUCACCAAAAAGGUAAAAUUCAAGAAAAGUUACAAAACUAUCUUACCUGUCCCGAUCUCUCCGAGAACCUGCUCGCAAGCCACUACUCCU